UAGGGUUUUAAGGGAAAAACUCACCUCUUAGGCGCAGAUUCAAAUUCAACCACCUAAUUCAGGGAGCUAGGCCACCAAUUAUUGACUCUCUAGCUUGUCCACAUAAGUCCCAUAAUCAUAGCACCAUCAUCCAAGCAAAAGUCCUCCUUGCUUAUCCCAUGUAAUUCGACCAAGAUAGGAAAUGCAAAGGAGAGAAAUUUCUUGGUUGUACGGAAGAUGGAAGUGUUGCGAAACCUUUUCUCUAGCUUUUUAUUCAAGUGUUUAACAUUUAAACCACUUGAAUUUGGCUAGGGAAGAAGAGAGAAUGCUCUGUCAUAGAGGAAGGGAGGUGGA
rnacentral:misc_RNA from 1 species